GCAUCAAUGGGGUAGUGGUAACCUGGGUCGUUGCCAUCGACCCGCCGGGGGUUCGAUUCCCUCUUGAUGCA
rnacentral:tRNA from 3 species